ACUAACCCUCCUUCGUCUUUACAAUCCCAUUUUCUUUUAGGGGACCUUUGCUUUCCACUUUCCACUACAAAGUUCUAAACAUUAACUGUGUAUUUUCGAUAUAUGUAUAGAGCAAAUACUCUCUGAUUUUAGGUGUCAAAACAGCACUUGAAUCUUUUCAUCCAAGGAGACUCACAAAGUCCAGAAUAGAGAAUACGCCUCCUCUGUUGUGGGCAUCACUGGAUUAUGUCAUCAGAGAACUGUCUGAAUUCUUGAAUCCUCCUGAGACUGAGUCUAUAGAAUCAAAGUGAGAUGCAAAAACCCAGGCCCAGAGAGAUGAAGAAACCUGGCUAAGGUAACAUGUAAGUUAGUGUCAAAAUCAGGAUAAAACCCAGAUCUUCUGACUCUUAGUAUAGCUCUCUUUUUACCCAGCCACACUGCCUGUGUCCCUGGGACUGUUAGUAAAAUAACAGGUGAGCUGGACCCCCUUUUUGAGAUGACUGGGUAUGUUUACUGUCUGGGUCAGAUCAGUCAAGUACUCUGAGUCUAGGGUUGUUCCUAGAACAGAAGCUGGGGUUGAUGAGCAUUUGUGAGUAUUGGAGAAGGAGUGAGGGGGAGAAGCCUCACACGCAAACCCAGGCCCUGGUUUCAAUUUCGUGUAUGAGAUUACCUGAGAACGGAAUGCAAGUAACAGGCAAAUAAUUGACAUCUCAAACCUAACUGUGUAUGCAUCCUGAGUAGCUAAUAGUGAGCUGUUCACUACUAAUGCUGUGUGUAGGUUCAUCCCAAAGACAGGCUGAUCCACACAUAGACAGGCUGGUCCUAUGAUUAAGGAGUGUGAGCUGGCAUUCCCUUUAUCAGGACAAAGAUAGGUUCUGCUUCCUCUGGAUAGUCUUCAGGCAAAGCUUUACUUAUGGCCUUGCAAAUAACCCAUGGUCUCUUGGUCGAUGAACAAAAUAGCAGUAAAGAAGAUGAAUUCUCCUUAUUUAUCUUCAGUUUUCUCCCUGGAGUGAAAGUGAGGGUUAUUCUCUGGUAUAUUAGAAAAAUAGUACAUUAUACUACCUAAUGGGUUUCAGUCUGACUCAAAAUGAAAG
rnacentral:lncRNA from 1 species